GUCGGUAAAUGCUCACCUCUGGAGCUGUAAUUAUCAUCUCUCCCAAGGGCCUAUCCCACGCUAUUCCGAGACAAGUGGGACAGCAGACUGGCGUGCACAUACACCAUUAGACCAUCUAAAUAUUCCAGUGAAGAAGUAAAAAAAAAUUGAGGAAAUCAGAGACGUAAGAGGAUGACGUGGAGACAGCAGUGGAUCCUGAAUACACGGACUAAAGGAUAAAAAUGAUAAGAAUGGAAGAGACUUUUUAUGGGAUCCUGUGAAAGAAAUGAAAUAAAAGGAGAAAUAGACAAUGGAAGCGUGGGCGCACACCAGAUGAAUGAGGAAAGAGGAGAUACUCUGGAGGAUUGACCUGUUGUACUCGAGGAUGAUCGCGAUAACGAAACAAUCGAACGGUACGCCACACUUGUACCGCCCUGUAACCGCUUUGAAGCGGCCAACCCCGUGGAUGUUGCGACACCAGGACUCGCUCUUUCUAUCCUAGAUAACCAGACCAACGUUAUUUUAUUUAUCUCCUCUAUUUUGCUACCGAAUUGAAGCCUCAAAUUCCUGGAGUUGUCGAAAAUUUCGGGAGUUAUUACCGAUAUCUCGUUUUUCAAUUUUUUUUUACGAAUUUAUGAGAAUGAUAAUUUAUGAAAUUGAGGAGAAAAAAUGGAGAACAUGAGAAUGGAUAGAUAUCGGGAAUAACUCCUUCGGUUUUAUUGUAUUUUUGAUUGAAAUAAUUAUCUUUUAUUUCUGUAAAUUUAAUGGAAAAUUGAUGGAAUUUAUAAACUUGCUAAUUUUUCAAUAAAUAUAUUUUCUUUAUUGACUGCUGGAUUAAAUCGACAUAACUCCAUCGAAGGAGAAGAGUAAGUGAGAUAAGUCGAUUUAACUCUUUCCCCGUGUACCAUAAAGCGAGAUAUAUCGAUAAAAUCAAAUAAAUUAUCACCUGCAGAAGGUGAAACGGAUUACACUGGGAAGUUAUUCAAAAUAAAAUCGAAUUAAUGAUUUAAAAAAAAUGACUGCCCCCAAGAAAUAUCUCCGGGAAUUUUGUAGCUAUUUUUUUUUUUUUUUGUUGAGUCUGUCUCGAUUUCUUUGUCCUUUCCCAGAAAAUCCCUCUGUCCAGAUUUUUUUUUCAACCACCCAAUGCGUGCCACACGGAAUGAUUUCGUCAUGGGGCACCCUGAGACCCAUGGCAAAUUCGAAUGUAUUCGCCUUCCAUACAAUUUCUUGAUCUCAAGUAUUGCCUCCCUCUCGCAUUCGACAGCGGCGUGAAACCGAGCAAAGGUCGUAUCUUCGCGCCUUUGGUGGUGCUCGGUUGGAGUUAAGAAACAUCACGAUCUUUUAGUGUAGGUAAAAUCGAUUGGAGAUGUCUUGGCUUUUGAAUAUAUAUGUACAGAUUUUAUGCCUCUUCCGCGCGUGCACACGAGGACGAAACUUACAGUUGUUGCCAAGAGGUCAUACCCGAGUUAAAAGCCGCCGUUGGCAGUUGUACAAUUUUCUUAUUCUAUCAUUUUUAACGCCUUUCUGCCAUUCACCCGAGGACUAUUUCAAAUUCUAAAUUGUCGAUAUGAGUCAAUAUGAAACUUUAUUAUUAAUCUAAUUAAUAAGUGCAUUACUGGACAUUGUUGUGGGCGACAAGUCGACAAGUUGCUAAAAUAAAAACGAAAAAAACUGGAAUUUAUCCACAUUCUUUCCGAUUUUAUCUCCUGCUCGUUCCAUUGUUAAUGCUUAAAUAUCUUAAUUAUUAAGAUAAAAUUUCUAAUUCUC